CUCAUGAAAACGUUGCUCUUGUAAAAGCGUUCUGGUGUCGAACAUGAUGCGUUCAAAUUUACCAUUUUCCCUGAACGCCAUGUGUUCCAAACAUAUCCGCGUACAUAACAGCGCGUGACGUAUUAAUGUACCGGAAGUUUGGUUUUUGAUCGUGAUUGAAGAAGCUUCACUGAAGAAAAUUAACAACAAAACUUGAUAUAAUAGGGUACAAACCCAACUAUACUGUACUUAAGGGUAAUUGUUCGUGCAUACCUCGAGAAUAAAGAGAACAUGUUGCAGUUCAAGAGAUGACUACUUAUCCUGCACCAUAAAAGUACUAUAUAACUUACGGUUGAUGGAUAACAAGGUUAAAGAAUAAUUAUAACCCAAGGAGACGAAUCCUCUAAAAAUGGAAGCUCAAAAUCAGUUGUAAAUGACUCAAAUCAUGUUUAAAAGUGUCCAAGGAAGUAGUGUUUCAUGAACACCGACUCGACUACUAGCAUCAUAUACACAGGGUAUUUUAUGUUUGAUAUUGACUAUCUGAGUGCUAUGCAGCCAGUGGAUUAUGGAACAUUUGGGUGAUAAAAGAGUCAGUGGCAUCAGUAUUUUGUUAAGAAAUUCAGAACAGUUCUUGACUUAGGAAGUUGCAAACGAUGAGUUAAACAUAAGACACUUGACUUUGUUGUAACAUAAUAAUUUUAAAUAUAUGACGAACAUUUUGUUUAUGAGUAAAUAUUUGGACACAUUUUGCAAAUUACAAAUGUUAUAUUUCUAACUUGUCUAACUUGUCAUUUUAAAGUUGCUUC